rnacentral:rRNA from 1 species
AGAGUUUGAUCAUGGCUCAGGACGAACGCUGGCGGCGUGCUUAACACAUGCAAGUCGAACGAAAAGACGGAAAGAGCUUGCUCUUUUCAGAAUUGAGUGGCAAACGGGUGAGUAACACGUAAACAACCUGCCUUCAGGAUGGGGACAACAGACGGAAACGACUGCUAAUACCGAAUAAGUUCCAAGGGCCGCAUGGCCCAUGGAAGAAAAGGUGCCUCUACCUGUAAGCUAUCGCCUGAAGAGGGGUUUGCGUCUGAUUAGCUGGUUGGAGGGGUAACGGCCCACCAAGGCGACGAUCAGUAGCCGGUCUGAGAGGAUGAACGGCCACACUGGAACUGAGACACGGUCCAGACUCCUACGGGAGGCAGCAGUGGGGAAUCUUCCGCAAUGGGCGAAAGCCUGACGGAGCAACGCCGCGUGAGUGAUGACGGCCUUCGGGUUGUAAAACUCUGUGAUCCGGGACGAAAAGGCAGAGUGCGAAGAACAAACUGCAUUGACGGUACCGGAAAAGCAAGCCACGGCUAACUACGUGCCAGCAGCCGCGGUAAUACGUAGGUGGCAAGCGUUGUCCGGAAUUAUUGGGCGUAAAGCGCGCGCAGGCGGCUUCCCAAGUCCCUCUUAAAAGUGCGGGGCUUAACCCCGUGAUGGGAAGGAAACUGGGAAGCUGGAGUAUCGGAGAGGAAAGUGGAAUUCCUAGUGUAGCGGUGAAAUGCGUAGAGAUUAGGAAGAACACCGGUGGCGAAGGCGACUUUCUGGACGAAAACUGACGCUGAGGCGCGAAAGCGUGGGGAGCAAACAGGAUUAGAUACCCUGGUAGU